rnacentral:lncRNA from 1 species
UGUGCCAAAAAAUAUAAUUAUCAUUCAAUUCAAUGUUUCAAAUUAUUUCAUCUUUAAGUUUUUAUCAAUUUCAUGUUUCAAUGGUAUUUAAUUAGUUAAAAUUUGAUACUCAUGAUACUUUAAUACAGAAUUCUUCUUCUCCUUUUUAUCAUUAUCAAAAGGCUAAAUAUUAUGCAAUUCAAUCAAACAGUGUCCAAUAAAGACAAAGGCAAACU